rnacentral:rRNA from 1 species
GGUGGGGAAGGUCAUAUAGACCGAAGUACAUGAUUCCAUGCUUCCAAGAAAAGCAUCUAGAGAGAGAAGUAGUGCCCGUACCGCAAACCGACACAGGUAGAUGAGGAGAGAAUCCUAAGGCCGGCGGAAGAAUUGCAGUUAAGGAACUAGGCAAAUUGACCCCGUAAGUUCGCGAGAAGGGGUGCCUGCGAGAGCAGGCCGCAGAGAAUAGGCCCAAGCAACUGUUUAGCAAAAACACAGGUCUCUGCUAAAGCGCAAGCUGAUGUAUAGGGGCUGACGCCUGCCCGGUGCUGGAAGGUUAAGGGGGAUACUUAGCGCAAGCGAAGGUAUGAACUUAAGCCCCAGUAAACGGCGGCCGUAACGAUAACGGUCCUAAGGUAGCGAAAUUCCUUGUCAGGUAAGUUCUGACCCGCACGAAUGGCGUAAUGACUUGGGCACUGUCUCAACUGCAAAUCCGGCGAAGUUGUAGUGCGAGUGAAGAUGCUCGCUACCCGCGAUUGGACGGAAAGACCCCGUAGAGCUUUACUGCAGCUUAGCAUUGAAUUCCGGUAUUGUCUGUACAGGAUAGGUGGGAGACUGGGAAACUAGGGCGUCAGCCUUAGUGGAGUCAACCUUGGGAUACCACCCUGACAGUACUGGGGUUCUAACAGGACGCCAUGAAACCGGUGACUGGACAUUGUUAGGUGGGCAGUUUGACUGGGGCGGUCGCCUCCUAAAAAGUAACGGAGGCGCCCAAAGGUUCCCUCAGAACGGUCGGAAAUCGUUCGUAGAGUGCAAAGGCAAAAGGGAGCCUGACUGCGAGACCUACAAGUCGAGCAGGGACGAAAGUCGGGCUUAGUGAUCCGGUGGUACCUCGUGGGAGGGCCAUCGCUCAACGGAUAAAAGCUACCUCGGGGAUAACAGGCUGAUCUCCCCCAAGAGUCCACAUCGACGGGGAGGUUUGGCACCUCGAUGUCGGCUCGUCGCAUCCUGGGGCUGUAGUAGGUCCCAAGGGUUGGGCUGUUCGCCCAUUAAAGCGGCACGCGAGCUGGGUUCAGAACGUCGUGAGACAGUUCGGUCCCUAUCCGUCGCGGGCGUAGGAAAUUUGAGAGGAGCUGUCCUUAGUACGAGAGGACCGGGAUGGACUGACCUCCGGUGCACCAGUUGUUCCGCCAGGAGCACGGCUGGGUAGCUAAGUCGGGAAGGGAUAAACGCUGAAAGCAUCUAAGCGUGAAGCCUCCCUCAAGAUGAGAUUUCCCAUAGCAUAAGCUAGUAAGACCCCUUGAAGAACACAAGGUUGAUAGGUCAGAGGUGUAAGUGCGGUAACGUAUGUAGCUGACUGAUACUAAUAGGUCGAGGGCUUGACC